rnacentral:rRNA from 1 species
GCCAGCAAUUACUCCACGUAGAAACUUUCGGUUCCGUCACACCAUUGAGGCUAUGCUACGUCGGGCCGGGUUAGUACAAUUGUUGGUGACGGAUGAGGAAGGCUCGGGGUCGCUGGCC